rnacentral:piRNA from 1 species
UACUAUGUAUGAGUUGGUUCCCAUAAAGAC